rnacentral:rRNA from 1 species
UUAGCUAGUAAGGUGAGGUAACGGNUCACNUAGGNGACGAUACAUAGCGACCUGAGAGGGUGAUCGGCCACANUGGGANUGAGACACGGCCCAGACUCNUACGGGAGGCAGCAGUAGGGAAUCUUCGGCAAUGGGGGCAACCNUGACCGAGCNACGCCGCGUGAGUGAAGAAGNUUUUCGGAUCGUAAAGCUCUGUUGUAAGUCAAGAACGAGNGUGAGAGUGGAAAGUCCACACUGUGACGGUAGCUUACCNNAAAGGGACGGCUAACUACGUGCCAGCAGCCGCGGUAAUACGUAGGUCCCGAGCGUUGUCCGGAUUUAUUGGGCGUAAAGCGAGCGCAGGCGGUUUGAUAAGUCUGAAGUUAAAGGCUGUGGCUCAACCAUAGUUCGCUUUGGAAACUGUCAAACUUGAGUGCAGAAGGGGAGAGUGGAACUCCAUGUGUAGCGGUGAAAUGCGUAGAUAUAUGGAGGAACACCGGUGGCGAAAGCGGCUCUCUGGUCUGUAACUGACGCUGAGGCUCGAAAGCGUGGGGAGCGAACAGG